UUUUUAUUUUUUGAAAGAAUUAUACUUACUUAAGUUAAUGUUAGUAAUUGAAGCAGAUAAAUCCCCACAUCUCUGUGGUAGCGCUUUAUUUCUCAUUCAUGUGAUGUCUGUAAGGGGCAUUUCUGAUCAGUGAGAGAAUCUGUCUCUGAGCGGUAAUGCAAGGCUCUUGGCUUCCUUCUGCUUGUGGUUCUGCUUGAGCUUCCUUCUGCUUGAGCCUCCUGAUGGAUGUACCCGAUGCAAAUGCUGACAAUGCAGGAUUAAAUGAAAAUGAUUGCAAUAAAGAUAAUGAAGAGAAUUUCAGACUAACCGGAAGAAAGGAAAAGCAAAAGCAGGGAUCAAAGAAGUAUCGAGUAUGUGACACACUCAGACUCAGUUUCAGAAGAGAGUUGCCAGAUCAAGUGAAGUUGGAGAAGAAUUGAACUUGGCGUUUGGGGGUUCCUGGAUUUCAAAGACAGAAAUAGUACUGGAAUCAACACGAACUGGGUCAUCUGGACAUAGACUGGCUUGUCCCGAAAUUGGCCUGACAUGGAAAUUUGCAGAGCUGGGUCUUUGCAUGGGAAAGGCAAGAAUCUGAGUCCUGGAAUGGGCAUAACAGCUGGUGUGGAUUUCAUUCCCCUCAACCUUCCCACUUCCCAGACUCAAAUCCCUCCAUUGGGUCUGGGUUUUGGCUUCAUCUUCACGAGCUCUUGACCAGACUGCGUGACUGUCGUGUGAACUCUACACUCUGAGCAGGAGGAAGUCUCCAUUCCAGCUGUCGUCUGUCUGUGGGAACUCCCUUGAGAAAAAGUGUGACUUCCGAAAUUUCCUGAAGAUUGGCAGAAAGAAUAUAUAUCUUCUCAGAAGAUAUUUCCUGUCACUUAGAUAAAAUUCUUACAAUUACAGCACCUCUGAAGAAGAAGAGUUUGAACCCCAAUAAGGUACAAGGUUCACAUCAAUAAGCAUUCAGGGUCACACGCUGGGUACCCUGGAUGACAGACUUGAACACAGAGAUUAGUGUAUAGGAGCCUUCUGAAGGAAUGCUCUUGGGAUUAACACCUGUAGAAGAAAAGAGCGGAAAACAGGAUGGGGUACCGGGAGCAGUUGAUCUUUGAUGCUGGAUUGGAUAUCUCAGUGAAGACACAGUCAGUCAUCCCUGUCAUGAAUUCUGAAGAUGGGAUCAUGUUCAGAGUGGCCCCCUGCAGGA